rnacentral:SRP_RNA from 1 species
CCGUGCUAGACGGGGAGGUAGCGGUGCCCUGUAUCCGCAAUCCGCUAUAGCGGAGUUGAAAUCCUGCCCCCGGCAUGCAAAUGUAAGGCCAGUUAUGUGUCAAAGUACAAUGAAGAUCGGGUCUUGCGCAACUUGGAACUGUGAACUCCGUCAGGUCCGGGAGGAAGCAGCGGUAAGCGGUCAACCAGGUGUGCCGCAAGCCUGCCUGGUCCGAGUACGAUGCACAUGGUACGCUUGUAUUUGCAUUGUCAAAGGCAGGUGCACGG